rnacentral:rRNA from 1 species
UCUUUCUUUGCUGGCGACCGGCGCACGGGUGAGUAACACGUAUCCAACCUGCCCUUUACUCGGGGAUAGCCUUUCGAAAGAAAGAUUAAUACCCGAUAGCAUAAUGAUUCCGCAUGGUUUCAUUAUUAAAGGAUUCCGGUAAAGGAUGGGGCUGCGUUCCAUUAGGUUGUUGGUGGGGUAACGGCCCACCAAGCCUUCGAUGGAUAGGGGUUCUGAGAGGAAGGUCCCCCACAUUGGAACUGAGACACGGUCCAA